rnacentral:rRNA from 1 species
AUUGAACGCUGGCGGCAUGCCUUACACAUGCAAGUCGAACGGUAACAGAUCUUCGGAUGCUGACGAGUGGCGAACGGGUGAGUAAUACAUCGGAACGUGCCUAGUAGUGGGGGAUAACUACACGAAAGAGUGGCUAAUACCGCAUGAGAUCUACGGAUGAAAGCAGGGGAUCGCAAGACCUUGUGCUACUAGAGCGGCCGAUGGCAGAUUAGGUAGAUGGUGGGAUAAAAGCUUACCAAGCCGACGAUCUGUAGCUGGUCUGAGAGGACGAUCAGCCACACUGGGACUGAGACACGGCCCAGACUCCUACGGGAGGCAGCAGUGGGGAAUUUUGGACAAUGGGCGCAAGCCUGAUCCAGCAAUGCCGCGUGCAGGAUGAAGGCCUUCGGGUUGUAAACUGCUUUUGUACGGAACGAAAAGCCCUGGGUUAAUACCCUGGGGUCAUGACGGUACCGUAAGAAUAAGCACCGGCUAACUACGUGCCAGCCGCCGCGGUAAAAC